GCUCAUUGCACCUCCAACCCCGAUCCCCAGACCAGCAUAAUCAGGUUUGGGAGACUGAAAGGGCUUCAGUUCCGCCUGGCUGCAGGAACCAUAAAUUCCAGACUAGGUCGGAAUUGGAAUAAUCGCAGUCAAAAUACACCCAGAUGCUCUUACACACACAGGCGCGCGCGCAUCCCCAGGCCAUGGGGCGCACGUGAGCCCACGCCCCGCGCGCCCAGCCCUGCCCCUCGCCGGAGCAUCCUCCGCAGCUGCCACAGAAGCCGCCUCCUCCUCCUUCUCCUCCUCGUCCACCUCCUCCUCUUCCUCCUUCUACGGCCACCGCCGCGGCUGCUGUGACUCCCAUCCCCUCUUGUCCUCAUUCCUCUCCCAGUACUUGCUCCUCCUUCCAUCCCCGGCGCCUGCUGCCCGGCGCCGAAGGGCAGAACCCUCGGCAACGGCUCCCCUCUGCUCGGGCCACGAAGAGGCUGGAACAGAACCUGGUGUUCCAGCAAGCAUUUGGCGGAGCUGGUGUGGGGAAGAACAUUCUUUGGGCAAUGCCAGGCAAGAGCAUUUUUGCACUGAGUUUGGAGGCUGUCACUGUCUUGUUGAGUAAACUUGGAUGACUCCCUUCAGCCCUCUAGGCUUUCCUUCCCCCAUGUGUAAAAUGAAGCUGAUAAUGAUCAUUGCUCUCACUGACUGUGAUGGUGUGAUGACAACUAAGAUAAUAUCCCUGCAAGUAUUUUGAGCUCCUUAGAAGAAAGGCUCUAUAUAAACUCAAGGUUAUUAUGAAAGGGAAGUGAAGAAUUAAGGCAAUUAUCUCAAUAGUUCGGGCCCUAGUCCUGUUUUUCUGCUGCCUUAUUGGGCAGUCUGCCUCAGUUCUCUGCUCUGCUUUGACUGCAAAAACCUAUAUCCUCAUCCAACCUUGCGUGACUCAGUUCUCUGGGGUUACUUCCUUUCACAUCCUGACACUUUCAGCACGGCCUUUAAUUUCCUGGUCCAGAGGUAUCAUCAGUGCAGCCUCAAGGAAAUCCCAUCAAUCUGAAUGCACCCUGCUGACCAGAGAGCCCUGGAGGUGGGAAUUAAAUGUAGUUGGAAAAUUGCUUUUAUCCUUCAGACUCAUCCUCCUGCAGAAGCAGUUCUAAAGGACCAUCUUGGAAGCUGAAUGCUAUGGGGUCCUCUCCAGUGGCCCCAGUGCUCCAUCUGGACCAGAGUCCUGUUCGCAGGAGAGGUUUCUUGACCAGUUUCCAGGGUCCCUUUUGCCAGUAGGAAGUCAUGGCCAUCUUUAAGGAAAUUUAAAGCAAAAGCAAAACCACUCUCAUGACCAUUGACCCUUCCUGAUUCCCGUGACUCUUUGUUAAUUCCUUCUUUUCCUUACAAGCUGCCUUGAAAGGAUAGAGUUCUUGAGGAUUAACCACUGAAUAAUCAUUGCAGACUGGGUUUGAGGUAGAGACUGAGGUGAGGGCAUUAGAGUUAGCAGUCUACCGUGCUCUGUACAUGGACCAGCAAUUUCCCACAUGCAAGCGGCAAGCUUCCAUCGCAGUAGGAAGCAUUUAGGUUCAACCACAAGAGGAAACUGUGUGACUUUAAGAUGUGAUGCUGGAAAGUGAGAGUGA
ensembl:lncRNA